ensembl:lncRNA uncharacterized LOC108938741
AUAGUUACAGAAAACGUUCAAGUAGCGAUUCUCGUUCUUCUGAGGCGCUUCCUCGGAACGUGAGGAUUAAAGAUCGCGAUGAGUUGAUUGCUUAAAAGAUGUCAUUGUUUCGUGUGACCUCUGCAUCGCCAUGGCAACAGGAUCUUGUUGACAAGGUCAAGGAAGUUGAAGUAAAAUGAUUAAUCGUUUGGAAAGACGUCCAGGGACCUAAGAUGGUGUUAGAAACGUUUUCACUGGAUCGUCACGGCGCCACCACUGUUCCUGGCAGUCGUGGGGCCUGUUCUUGGGGGUGGCCAGUCGCGCGAGCUGCUCGUACCGCGCGGCCGUGGAAGUGCUGAGUAUUUUACUGGACUGAUUCCGGUACCAAGCGUCACUCCAGGGUCCAGCAGCAGGGCCCCAUGUUGGACAAGAACCAACAACCUUCAAGUCAGAUCUCCGCUGUUCACAAGAGCCCCACCUGCUGUCCACACUGCAAGUGAGCGUUGCUACUGUUGUAACUGAUGGCCUUUUUGCUGAGCAAGUUCUGAGUACUGAGCUGCUUAAUAUUUGACAAUAAAUUAAGCAUGCAUAAAUAUAUUAUUUUACUU